GGUUUUCAUAAUAAACAAGACUGAGCUGAGCUGAGCUCUUUAUCCAGAACACACACUGGAGAGACCUAGAGCAGAGAUGCUCUCGGGCACUAAAGCUUCUCCAUUCCCCGCAGUCGACUCUCCAAGGCCCGGGGCAGAUGGGGACCGGGUUGCAGCCGAGCUUGAACAAACAUUUCCCCGGAAAGGACUGGCAGCCACUAGCUGGCCGAGAACAGCCAAGCAGACGGAUGUUAGAACACCUGAUGUGGACUCUCCAGAGUGGGGCAAGUUUCCGUCCCACUGUGAUUUCACUGCAUCAGAAGAUUGACUGAUCUUCCGAUCGGUCAGAUCCUGUCUGCAGGAACCAAUCAGAGGACGUGACACAUCGGUGUGCUGUGAAUCGAUCCCUUCAACUGGGCGGAGGACGGUCAGAUAUGGGUACCCGGGAACACCCACGAUCAAAUCAAACAUAGCUUAGCACCGUUAACAUGUACCCAGGAAAUGCAGCUUGUGCCAGGUAGAUGGGGGGGGCACAGCAGCCUCUCUCUGGACUCUUCCAACCACAUCCAAAAUGGUAGCCUUGGCCCGGGAAAAGCCUGAUAAAGGACUUAUAUGAUGGGAUGGAAAGAACCUGAACUCCCACCAGUAGCCCUCCCAAGACUCUCAGAUGCCCUCAGGGGAAGAAACCCUGUGAUCCUGAGUAGGGGAUUUUCAAUCAAUAGAGCUUAUUGAAAACUUACUCUGUACAGAGAACUAUGUUUAGCGC